rfam:Aspergillus rambellii strain SRRC1468 contig00048, whole genome shotgun sequence.
UGAGGCCUCCGACCUGGCACAACAUCCUGCAGCGGUGUUGUGUGACCUGCAGUGUCAGUCGCCGGCCUCG